ACUUUGGUAGAGUCCGGGAUAGAAAUGCUGAAGGAGAUGGACUUCAUCUCUAGCUGUCUGAUGUGCCGGGAGCGCUGGGAGAGAUGAACCAGUGUAGUCUGUGUUCCCAGAGAUCUAUGCAGAGGACACACGAAACAACAUGCUAUGUUUCUACAUGCCAGAGCCCGCAGAAGUCCGACGAUCCCCUUGGUGAAGGUGAACAUAUCUGCAUCUACCAUGGCUGGUUCGAAUUCAGUUGAGAGUUGACCAAGAUGACCGUGGAAGGUCAAACCGAGGAACCUUCUGCAUGGGAUCUGGCACAAGGUGCUUGUUUUUUAAGUCUUGUUUAGCCCAAUCUGUUUUCCAGGUCUCCUUCUGAUCAUAGCCUGAUUGCAUGAGGCUAAACGGAUAUUCCCAAAAAGGCUUGCAGGACUUAAGACAUUGCGGGGGGGCAUUGUCAAGGUCUUGGUGAAUAGGAAGACAUGUUUUCCUAGAUUCACUGAGCUUUGUGGAAUCUUGCAGCAGUUUGGCAUAUCGGUGUUGGAGUCAUGGUGUUGGAGUCAACUUAAGGGGUCCCGUGAUGCACUGCAUCACUGUAUUUAGCUGUGUAUCCACAAGUCAUGUGUGGCUGCAUCUGCGCCAUACCUGUGCACAAUAUUCAGCUACUGAAUAUUAAAAUGCUAUUGCAGAUGUUCACAACACUGAUGCUGAUGCACCCCAGGUUGUACCUGCUAGUUUCUGGAUUCUGUUGGCUCUUGUUUUUAUCUUUGCAGCUACCUUCUCAAGAUGAUUAUGGAAGAAGAGGGUGCAGUCGAGUUUCACUCUGAGAUACAUUGGAAUAUAAGCGUGUUGAACAUUUUUACCACAGAAAGCUACCUUCAGUGUGUUUUUGGCACUCUUAUUAUCAAGAUGAAAUGUGCUUGUAGCAAGAGGAGGCCCUAAGAUAUAAACCUUGGUAUCAGAGGCCUGGUAUGAGGCCUGAGGCCUAAACUAAAGUAAUGGUCAAGACUUUGCUAACAUAAAGCAAAGUUAAGCUGUGAGCCAGAGGCAGGC